rnacentral:rRNA from 1 species
UACAGAGGGGGCAAGCGUUGUUCGGAAUUACUGGGCGUAAAGGGCGCGUAGGCGGCCUUCUAAGUCGAACGUGAAAUCCCCGGGCUCAACCUGGGAACUGCAUCCGAAACUGCCUUGCUCGAGUAUGGGAGAGGGAAGUGGAAUUUCCGGUGUAGCGGUGAAAUGCGUAGAUAUCGGAAGGAACAUCAGUGGCGAAGGCGACUUCCUGGACCAAUACUGACGCUCAGGUGCGAAAGCGUGGGGAGCAAACAGG